rnacentral:rRNA from 1 species
UACAGAGGAUGCAAGCGUUAUCCGGAAUGAUUGGGCGUAAAGCGUCUGUAGGUGGUUUGCUGCGUCCGCUGUGAAAACCCAAGGCUUAACCUUGGGCUUGCAGUGGAUACGGGCAGACUAGAGGUAGGUAGGGGAGAAUGGAAUUCCCGGUGUAGCGGUGAAAUGCGCAGAUAUCGGGAGGAACACCGGUGGCGAAGGCGGUUCUCUGGGCCUUACCUGACACUGAGGAGCGAAGCGUGGGGAGCGAACAGG